UAUAUUAAGCUUAUUUCAAAGAUUAAGCCAUGCAAAUGUAAGAACAAAUCGUAGGGGCAACUCUAUGAUAUUUCAUCUGUACACAGCUCCAUAUAAGAUUUAUAAGCGUCUCUAAUUGUGUAAUUUAUAAGGAUAACGUUGCUAAACGCAUCGAUAAUACUUGAGAAAUAAUUAUUAGUUCUAAUAGGAAUAUGAAUUAAUGUCCCUUGGUAACAGGGGGGAUAAUCAAACGAUCGAUUAGACGCAUUUAUCACCCAUCAAUUAGAUAACUGUUUUGAUAACAGCUAUGAUUAUAACGGGUACAGAGAAUCGGGGUUCGAUUCUGGAGAAGGAGCCUGAGAAAUAGCUACUAGUGCCAUGACAUGCAGCAGGCGCGAAAAUUACCCAAUGAUAAUACUUGAUCGAGGUAGUGACAAGAAAUAAGCACUGCUUCUUAACUAGAAGCAGGUACUGGUUAAUUUAUCGGUUUACAAUGGUUCCGUAUUAGACUUACGGAAGAGUAACAAUUG
rnacentral:rRNA from 1 species